rnacentral:rRNA from 1 species
UACGAAGGGGGCUAGCGUUGCUCGGAAUCACUGGGCGUAAAGGGUGCGUAGGCGGAUCUUUAAGUCAGGGGUGAAAUCCUGGAGCUCAACUCCAGAACUGCCUUUGAUACUGAGGAUCUCGAGUUCGGGAGAGGUGAGUGGAACUGCGAGUGUAGAGGUGAAAUUCGUAGAUAUUCGGAAGAACACCAGUGGCGAAGGCGGCUCACUGGUCCGGUACUGACGCUGAGGUGCGAAAGCGUGGGGAGCAAACAGG